CGCGGCCUAUCAGCUUGUUGGUGAGGUAACGGCUCACCAAGGCAAUGACGGGUAGCUGGUCUGAGAGGACGAUCAGCCACACUGGAACUGAGAUACGGUCCAGACUCCUACGGGAGGCAGCAGGAGGGAAUCUUGCGCAAUGGGCGAAAGCCUGACGCAGCGACGCCGCGUGGGGGAUGAAUGCCUUAGGGUUGUAAACCCCUUUCACGAGGGAAGAAACUGACGGUACCUCGAGAAGAAGCCCCGGCCAACUACGUGCCAGCAGCCGCGGUAAUACGUAGGGGGCGAGCGUUGUCCGGAUUUAUUGGGCGUAAAGGGCUCGUAGGCGGCUUGGCAAGUCGGCCGUGAAAACCCAGGGCUCAACUCUGGGACGCCGGUCGAUACUGCCAUGGCUAGAGUCCGGUAGAGGGGAAUGGAAUUCCCGGUGUAGCGGUGAAGUGCGCAGAUAUCGGGAGGAACACCAGUAGCGAAGGCGGUUCCCUGGGCCGGCACCGACGCUGAGGAGCGAAAGCGUGGGGAGCAAACAGGAUUAGAUACCCUGGUAGUCCACGCCGUAAACGUUGGGUACUAGGCGUGGCGUCUUAUCAACGGAUGCCGUGCUCGAAGCUAACGCGUUAAGUACCCCGCCUGGGGAGUACGG
rnacentral:rRNA from 1 species